rnacentral:rRNA from 1 species
UAGGGAAUCUUCCACAAUGGACGAAAGUCUGAUGGAGCAACGCCGCGUGAGUGAUGAAGGAUUUCGGUUCGUAAAACUCUGUUGCAAGGGAAGAACAAGUAGCGUAGUAACUGGCGCUACCUUGACGGUACCUUGUUAGAAAGCCACGGCUAACUACGUGCCAGCAGCCGCGGUAAUACGUAGGUGGCAAGCGUUGUCCGGAAUUAUUGGGCGUAAAGCGCGCGCAGGUGGUUUCUUAAGUCUGAUGUGAAAGCCCCCGGCUCAACCGGGGAGGGUCAUUGGAAACUGGGAAACUUGAGUGCAGAAGAGGAUAGUGGAAUUCCAAGUGUAGCGGUGAAAUGCGUAGAGAUUUGGAGGAACACCAGUGGCGAAGGCGACUGUCUGGUCUGUAACUGACACUGAGGCGCGAAAGCGUGGGGAGCAAACAG